rnacentral:lncRNA from 1 species
CUCCUCAGUGGCCCCUCAACUCAGGGACCUCUCUGCUGCUGCACCUAAGCAGGAGAGGACCCUCCUCCCAUGGCUUUUGCCAAGGUUGCUGUGCCCCAGAGACAGAGAGACAGAAAGAGAAUACGUGUGUUUGUGUGUGUCUGUGUCUGUGUGUGUAAGCAUGCAUGUGUGUGUGGGCAUGCAUGUAUAUAUGUGUGCAUGUAUAUUGUCAGUGUGCAUGCAUGUAUGAGUAAGAGUGCAUGUAUAUGCACGCAAGCGUGCAUGUGUGAGUGUGCAUGUAUAUAAGUGUGCAUAUAUGUAAGUGUGCAUGUGUGUACAUGUAUGUGUGAGCGUGUGUAUGUGUCUGUGUGUGUACGUGUGUAAGUGUGCAUGUGUAUUCAUGUAUGUGUGAGCAUGUAUAUGUGUGAGUGUGCAUGUAUGUGUGCAUAAGCAUGCAUGUAUAUGUGUGAGUAUGCAUGUAUAUGUGUGCAUAUAUGUGGGUGUGCUUGCAUGUGUAAGUAUGCAUGUAUGUGUGAGCAUGCAUGUGUGUCAGUGUGCACGUAUGUGUGUAUGCAUGCACAUGUGUGCAUGUAUGUGUGAGCAUGCAUGCAUAUAAGUGUGUGUGAACAUGCAUGUGUGUGCAUGUAUGUGUGAGCAUGCAUUUAUAUAAGUGUGCGUGCAUGUGUGUGAACGUGCAUACAUGUGCAUGUGUGUGUGUGCACGUAUGUGUAUGUAAGCAUGUAUGUUUGUAUAUAUGUGUGUUUGAGGGGCUGACCCCUGCUUGCUCUGCCCUGCAGUAGCACAGAGGUAAGCAUGACCGGGGUGGCAGGGUGGCAAGACCAGGCCCAGGCUGAAUGGAGGGAACCAGGGAGGGGCUCACCAAGAAAAGCCCAGGGACCACGAUAAACAGGUGAGGAAAGAGCAUGCCUGCAGGUGAGUGACCUGCUCAAGGCCACACAGGCCAGGCCAGGCCUAGGCCUUGGACUCGGGUGGACUCACAGCCAGGUCUUUCUCUCCCUUGUCUUGGGGCAGAACCUCUUCGACAGCAUCAAGAGUGAGCCAUUCUCCAUCCCUGAGGAUGACGGCAAUGACCUCACUCACACCUUCUUCAACCCAGACCGGGAGGGCUGGCUGCUCAAGCUAGGUGAGAGACCGACAGACACACGUCGUCGCGCACACACUCAUGCACGAGCGGGCACACAUCGUUGCAUGCACACUCCUGGACGCACAGGCCCCCAGCUGACACGAGGCUCACAUGCAUCCUGGGGGAUGGAGUUGGACAGCCCCAGGUCUCCUGGCCCCCAGUGCAGCCGUCUGCCUGCCCCAUCCAUCCAUCUGUCCUGAGAAGGAAGGGAGCCAGUGGUGGGGGCUGAGCUGUAAGCCAGGUGAGAGGCAGACAGACCCACUGACAAAUGCUUCAGCUGCGAUUCUGUUUCUCUCUCCCCAGAGGAAUGGGGAGGGAAGUCAAAGCAGGAAGUACCAUUUGUUCAGAACCUACGGAGCUCAGGCAAGGUGCUGGUUCACCCUACAGCAGAACAGUAAAGUCAGGGAUCUGCCUGAGGCCACACAGCCAGCCAGGGGCAGAUUUGAGGGCGCAGAGGGUUAGAUGUCCCUAAAGGAGGGGAGGAAGGAUGACAGGAUGUGGCUUAGGGGGAGGCUCCCUUCAAGCUGACUGGGGGCAGGGAGGGCCUGCACCCUGCAGAGAGCAGCUGGGGUGGAAGCUGCAGUAAUAGUGGCUGUAGAGUCCAGCAGGGCAACCCCAGUGCCCGGCCGUCUGCCCCUGCCUCCCACACACACUUCAGAAGCCUCUCCAGCAGGGACAGCCAAGCCGGGGACAGCACCUCCAGGGCAGGUGAGGACAGAUGCCUCAUGUUGAAGCAGGGGUCUCAACCUGGCUCACCUCCAGGAACAUUGAGCCUCCAGCACCUCCUGUCUACCAAGCCCCGUGCCAGUCCUGCCCAGAACCCCCAGGAGCCCCCGAGCCCUCUGACUCUCCACACCACACCCCAGUCCAUCCUCCUCCAUAGCACUCGGCCGCCUGUCCUGCCCCAGCCACGUGCUGUCCGCCUCCGAGAAGCUCUAUGUCAUAAAUCUUAACUCAGAUGGGAGAGGGAGCCUCAGAGUCACAUAGCCCUGGGCCCAAACCCCAGCUCCUCCACCCAAGUACUGAUGGUCAGGUUCUUCAGCCUCAGUUUCUGUAGCUGUAAGAUGGGGAGAAUGAUCUCUGGGAGGGUUCAAUGUGCGGCAAAAUGGCCAAGAGUUGGGCUCUGGGACUAGGACAUUGGGGUUCGAAUCCCAGCUCUGCUGCUGAACUGUGGGCAGGCGAUUUUACCUUUCCAUGACUGUUUCCUCGUCUGUAAAAUGGGGUUAACAAUGGUCUCCUCUUCAUCCGUGGUUAUGAGGAUUAAUAAGUAAUAUUUUUUGAAACCUCUAGAGCAGUGCCUGGCAAAUGAAGGAUGAAAUGCUUAGCAUAGUGCCAGGCAGGGACCAAGCUAAGGAAUGAAGCAAUGGAUGGCGGUAGCCAGGAAGAGCAGGAACUGGCCAUUCCUAGGACCAUUCCUAGGACCUGAUCACGGAGGCCACCCAAACGCCAGCUCAAGCAGCUCCAGGGAAGCCUGGGGAUUACAGGAGCCACUAAGGUUCUUGUUUGAGAAAGGGAUAGAUGUUGGGGGGAGGUGUGGCGGACGAAGUUUAGGGCACUCAGCUGGGGGUCCAGGGGAAAGCAUCCGAGGCCCUGCCCUUCCCUGGAGGAGGUGUCAGUGGCCCAGGAGGAGGACUGACCAGCUUGCUACAUUGGCCUUGCGCAGGGGGCCGCGUGAAGACGUGGAAACGGCGCUGGUUCAUCCUGACCGACAACUGCCUCUACUACUUCGAGUUCACCACUGUGAGCAGGGGUCUCCUGGGCCUUCCCCUGCCCCCGCCUCUCCCCGCACAACCCACUUCCCAACUCCCACUGAGCAGUCGACUCACACAGCUUUGGAUCCUUUGAGAUCAUUCAGUUCCCCUCCAUGCCCAUUUUACAGAUGGGGAAAACGGGUACACAGAGGAGGGCCGGGCCAAGGUCCUAGGCAGAGCCCAGGCUUAAAGCUGGGCCUCCUAACUCCCAGCCAGAGGUCUUCACAUGCUGCUUCUAACUUCCGUCCCCCUAUGACUGGACAGUCUCGGAAGAUGAGCACGCUCCUCUUUGAGUUUGGGGAACCCCACACGUUCACACCCUGCCUUGGGCCUCAGGGUUCCGCUUCCUGACCCUGACCUUCCUUCCCCUUUCCCUGUAGGACAAGGAGCCACGGGGAAUUAUACCUCUUGAGAACCUCUCGGUGCAGAAGGUGGACGACCCCAAGAAGCCAGUAGGUGUUCAGGUUGUGGGGCCCCGAGGCUGGAGCCACUGGGAAAUUUCCUAAACAGAAUGUGGGGAGAGGGCCUGAGGCUGGGCUCUCCAGGAAGCCAGGCUGUGCCCCUUACACCUUCCCUGUGGCUCAGGGCUGCCUUCUCUCCCUCCUGGGGCCAUGGACAGUGGGAAAAGGUCAAUGUGGGUCCAAGGACGUGGUUGUCCCCUGUUGUCCCACACAGCCCGACUGGCUGGAUGGCCCCGAGUAAGCUCCGCUCCAUUCAGAACCUCAGUGAGCCCACAUGUCACGUGGGGACUUUAGGGAGGAUGGUGGAUUCAGGAGCCUGGCACAGAGAGAGUGCUCAGUGUGGGAGCAGCAGCUCCUGCCCCUUCGCCUGUCGUAGGGCUGUCACGCUGAUCAGGGACACUAGCGUCUGGGCUUCUCUGAGCCUCCUGGAGGGCCCACCCAGCCUCCCUCUCUUCCCACCCUUGCCUGGCCACCUCCCCACAGUUCUGCCUGGAGCUCUACAACCCUAGCUGCCGAGGCCAGAAAAUCAAGGCCUGCAAGACCGAUGGCGACGGCAGGGUGGUGGAGGGCAAGCACGAAUCGUACCGCAUCUCAGCCACCAGUGCCGAGGAACGUGACCAGUGGAUCGAGUCCAUCCGGUAAGGGGUGCCCAGGUCUGGGGAUGGCUUCCCGUCACCUUCCAGAAGGUCCUGCUUCUUUUGGGUCUUGCUUCCUUAUCUGUAAAGGGAGCUAACUCCAGUCUCUCCCUCCUGUUUCUGGCUGGCAAACCCCUUCCACCCGUAUUCCAUGGGUACUUUCUGUGUGCCUGGCACCAGGCCAGGCCCCAGGACACAGGGAAAGGAGAGACCACCUGCAUGGGGUUGGUGGGAGAAUAGAGCAAAGAGUUGCACAUAAAGUUCUUGCCCCGCCCUUGCCUGGCACGUGGUGAGUGCUCUUGUUGGCAUCACUAUCCAAAGUGGCCUGGGAAGGACCUGGUGGAGGUGGAGGGAAGGGCUUUCCAGAUAAACUUCCAGGUAAAAGGACCCGGACCUGUGUGGGCAACCAGCAGGCGGCCUACCUGCACAGCAUCCUGGAGUCCGAGUGAGGCUAAGCAGUGUGGGAGCUGAAACUGCUGAGCAUGACAAAGCCACAGCCACCGUGGUGAAGAGCUUCGGUUUCUCCUGGGGCACUGGGGAGCCAUAGACUCAUAAAUAGGGAGGGGUGGCUGGGUGAGGAAGGCCAAAGUGUAGGGACUGGUUCUGUGGUGCCACCAACAGGAGAGACAUGAGGAAGAUGCACCUGGUAAAGGGCAAGAUGGCAAACCUGCUCAAGGCUUGACUCUGAGCCAGCCCAAGAUAUUGGCAAGGGUGAGGCCUGGUGGCCGGAGGAAGGCAGAAGUGGUUGCUGGGCAGGGGCCGUGUCCCAGGGACUUGCAGGGUCUUUUCCCCUGGGCCUUGCAGCGGAGCAUCCUGUGAGGCUGCCAGGCAGACCCAUUCUCACCUCCAUCUUACACAUGAGGAAACUGAGGCCCAGAGAUGGGAGGGACCUGCCCAGGCCACAGAACCAGGGACAGAGCAGGGUCCAACAGGCAGGUCUGCCAGCUCCACCCCAAGCUCUUCCCGUCACCUUCCGAAGGUUGCCAGUGGGAGCCUGGAGAGGGGACCAGAGACAUUUGGGAGUAGAAUUCCCAAGGCUCUCAGCUCCUGAUCAGAGGCCUCACCCACUCUGGCCCUGCCCAUGGGACACUGGGUUAGGCUUACAAGUCUGGACUUACCCUGGCACAGACUUUGUUGGGGCCAUCUGGCCUUUCCCCCGUGGCAGAGCAGGCUGACACCUCCCUGGGAAUCCCAUGCCCCUGAUACAAGCCCUGUGAGAGCAGACCCCCUUGACGGCCAGUCCAGCCCUGAAAUCUCUCCUCCCACUCUCAUUCUAGAGCCAGCAUCACCCGUGUCCCCUUCUACGACCUGGUCUCUACUCGGAAGAAGAAGAUUGCCAGCAAGCAGUGAGAUUCCUGGAGGUGGCACUGGAGGUGGCACUGGGGGCUGGUCACCCUGAGAGUCCCAUCGCCUGCAGCGCCUGGAGACCCACCUCCCACCCCAGUGCACUCUUUUGGGCCACAGACAUCAUUGCUGUUCCCCGUUACCUCGAGCUGACUCUAGAGGGGAAGGCAGAGCUCAAGAGGGUGGGUGGGAGCUGCAGUGGGCUCAGAGUCCAGCAAUGAGGCCCCCUGGCGUGGGCACCCAGCUGCAGGCCCCUGCCCUAUGUGCACUACAGGAAGGGGUGAGGAGAGCAGCCAGAGGAAAACCAGCCCCAGAAUGCUGCAACUUCUCUUCUCUCUGGACUUCGGUGUCCUCGGCUCUGAAGGCGCUCUCUGCACUUAGAUGCUGUCAGCCCUCAACGUAGGAGGGGCCGUGGGGUCCCUAAGUGAUUCUUCUCCCUGGCAAGGCUCUUCCUUUUCAGGGAUAUCUCUGCCAACCCCUCCCCUGUCCUCGGGUUGGGCUUGGCCCUCUCUGCCUGAGAGAGCUCAGCACACACACAGCUCAGACCCACGGACAGGACCCCGGGACAGAACCCCGGGAGCACUGCCCUAGGAGCCCGGACCCCACGAGCUCAGUCCCAGCUCUGCCUCUGACUCGCUGUGUGCCCUCUGCCAAGUCAUGCCCAUUCUCUAGUUCUUGCAAAACUGCAGUAUUUGGACUAGAAACGUCUUGGCCCCUGCUAGCCCUGUGCUCCAGCUUCCAGCUGGAGAUGGCAGCCCUUGUUUGCGGAGCCCAGGCUGACUCCAGAUUCAACGUUGCUGGGGAGAGAAGAGCAGUAUAGACUCCACCUUCCAGGAUGUCCAUUUCGGGGAGAGGAGCAGGUGGGACCCUCAAGAAAAUGACAGAGAACAUCCCAGACAGAUGGGACUCAAGCAGGAUGGGUGCUAUAUCCAAGAAGCCAAGAAGAGAGAGUUUCGUGCACUGUGGUUACCAGGAGGGCUGCCUGGAGGCAGUGGCUGAGCCAGAAAGUAACACAGAACUCAUGCUUGGAGAGAUAGAGUCUUGGCCAUGGCUUUCCUAGCCUGAGCAAUCAGGCAAGAGAAAAUAAUAACCAAUUUGGAAAAUAGGGAGUCAAAUUAUCCUUUUCUGCAGAUAAAAUGAUAUAGUGAAACCUAAAGGCUCUGCCAAAAACCCCUUAGAACUGAUAUAUGAAUUCAAUAAAGUUUCAGGAUACAGAAUCAACAUACAAAAAUCACUAUCAUUUCUAAGCACCAAUAACAAGCUAGCUAAGAAAAAAAAUCAAGAAAAUGAUUCCAUUUAAAAUAGCUACAAAAAAACCCAUAUAGGAAUACAUUUAACUAAGCAGGUGAANNNNNNNNNNGAGUCUUGGCCAUGGCUUUCCUGCGAGACCACUGACGAGCAGUCCCAUGGUGAUAAAGGGCAGCCCGGCGGGUCCCAGCAUCUCGAGACCCUCUGCAGCAGUAUUAUCAGAGUAGAGCUGACUUCCAGUACCCGGGCAGCCAGCUCUGUCUCCAGGGAGGCCUGGCCUGGAGGAGGAGUCCACUAACAGGAAACACUUCUCACCCCCUCACACAGGCCCAGGGGAGCCCCUGGAGGGAAAUUCCUUGGCAGGGGAACAGGAAAUGUGGUCGCCCCUGCCCCACUGCCAGCCUGACUGGGCAAGGAAGCAGGUGGAUCCCCCAGAAGGAACCGCAGCUCGCGAGGCACCUCUCCUCGUCCCCACCCACCCCCACAUUUGCACACCUUCCACAGGGUGAGGAUGGAGUAGCUGCCUUGCAAGGUGGUGAGACUCCUGUCUCUGGAGGUCUGCAAGCACUGGUAGUGAUAUUGCAGCAGACAAGGUCUGGGUUGGGCGUCUGCAGGAGGAGACCUUGUGGGACAUCUGAGGACAUCCGCAGAUUCUUGUCAGCCUGUGAACUAGGCCCUGCCUCUGUCACCUCAUUGGUCCAUGAAGGAGCAGCCAGGGGUGGUGGAAGGAGCACUGGGCUAGGGGUCAGGGGUCAGAGAUUCUGUCCUGCUCCUGGGAUGCACUGGCUACUCCCUUAGUCUACUCCCUUCCCCUCUCUGGUCCUCAGCUUCCUCCAUCAUGGAGGAAAUGGGAUCAUGGAUUUUCUGGGCAUAAGUGGCUGUUCUGGGAGUCAUUCCAAAGAGAGAAUAAAACUCUUGAUCCAACUCGUGAGUGGGCUCUGUCCUUUCUGUGACUGCGGCUGCCACCUUGACCCCACCAGGCCCUCCACCUCCGUCCCUGUCCCAGUGGAGGGCAGGAGGGCCAGGCAGGGAGGCUGGUCACUCAGAGGGCCCUACAACCCCAUCCCCGGAACAUUGGCACAGGAGCCAUCCCCAGGGGCUGGACAGCCAAUGGGGCUUCCACAGAGCAGGUGCAGGCAAGCUGGUUCUGACAAGCCCAGGGAAAGGCAAAAGGACUUUCCAGCAGGCAAUGCUGUCUAACGAUAGAAAGAGCCGCUGCCGGUCAGGUGUGGUGGCUCACGCCUGUAAUCCCAACACUCUGGGAGGCCGACGUGGAAGGAUCACUUGAUUUGGGAGGCUGAGGCGGGCAGAUCACCUGAAGUUAGGAGUUCGAGACCAGGCUGGCCAACCUGGUGAGACCCCCAUCUAAAAAUACAAAAAAUUAGCCAGGCGUGGUGGUGCAUGCCUGUAAUCCCAGCUACUUGGGAGGCUGACGCAGGAAAAUUGCUUGAAUCUGGGAGGCAGAGGUUGCAGUGAGCCGAGAUCAUGCCACUGCACUCUAGCCUGGGCAACAGAGUGAGACUCUGUCUCAAAAAAAAAAAAAGAAAGGAAGGAAGGAAGGAGGGGGGAGGGAGAGAGAGAGACAGACAGACAGACAGAAAGAGAGAGAAAGAGCCUGCUGCCAUGGGAGGUGAGUAGUAUGUUCCCCGUUGCUGGAGAAGUGCAAGCACUGCUGCUCCAAGGAUCACUUGGUGGGUAACGGAGGAGCUUGAAUUCAAUAACCUUCAUUUAUUUGUACAUCCCACAAAUGUUUAUGGAGCACCUACGGUGUGCCAGGCACUGUCCCAGACACUGGUACAACAAGGCAGAAUCCCUGCCUGCAUGGGGCUCACAUCCCUGCAGUACUGAACACACGCCGUUCCAGAGGACGCAGAGCGGGCAGUGGAGGGCUGGGCUGGGCAGAGGGCAAUCCGGGGAGGCUUCUCUGAGGAGGGUGCUCAAGUAUUGGCAGCCAGGCCAGGGACAGGACACGCACCUGAUAAUGCAGUGAGCUCACUUCAUGUCUGCCCCACACUGAACUGUGAGCUCCUUGUGGGCCAGACCAUGCACAUACUCAGUGCCCAGCACACAAUAGGUGCACAAUAACUGCUAGUUCACCUGAAGUUAACUGAUAAAAGGCCCUCUGGGUCUCAGCAUCAGCAGGUGCAAAUGUCCAGAGGCCUAGAGAGCUAUGAGAACGUUGGUGCCUCCAGGAGAUGCAGGAGUACCUGGAGAGGCCACAUCACAAGCCAGGAGCAUGGAGA